rnacentral:rRNA from 1 species
AUACGGAAGGUCCGGGCGUUAUCCGGAUUUAUUGGGUUUAAAGGGUGCGUAGGCGGAUGAUUAAGCGUGAGGUGAAAUGCCACUGCUCAACAGUGGAACUGCCUCGCGAACUGGUUGUCUUGAAUGCUCCUGCCGUGGGAGGAAUGUGUGGUGUAGCGGUGAAAUGCAUAGAGAUCACAUAGAACACCGAUUGCGAAGGCAUCUCACGAAGGGGUGAUUGACGCUGAGGCACGAAAGCGUGGGGAUCAAACAGGAUUAGAUACCCUGGUAGUCCACGCAGUAAACGAUGAUAACUAACCGCUGGGUCGUAGUGAUUCAGUGGCCAAGCGAAAGCGAUAAGUUAUCCACCUGGGGAGUACGACCGCAAGGUUGAAACUCAAAGGAAUUGGCGGGG